GCAUCAAUUUUUAAUCCACCAUGAAUGGCUUCGUGAAGGUCAGUCACCAAUUCAAAUAGUUGUGUUUCACAUGAACGACCACGAAGGAAAACAUGCUGGUUACUGGAAAAGAAGUUGUGUUCUUAAUUCCAUCAAUUUUG
rnacentral:lncRNA from 1 species